AGAUUAAAACAUGAUGUUAUUUGAAUAUGACAUACACGCUGUAUCCCACGUAUAAUUUUAUGCAAUACGUAUUUAUUGUGCUCCACGCAAUCCUACAUCUGAAAGAAGUCCGACCAACAGAUUAAAGAUGCAUUUACUUUUUGUCUCCAUCUCUCUGUGCAUUAUUUGUGUUCUGGGGGAUAGAACUUUUUGUGAACAGGAAUGUUAUCCCUACAGAACAAAAUGUCACACGGACUGUAGGAAGGACUAUAUGUCCAACUCUUUCAAGAAGAAGUUCCAGGCAUGUUCCAAGAAAUGUGAAGCUGAAUUUAGGAAAUGUGAUGACACCUGUGAGUGCAAGGCCUUGAACAAAAGAGAGCGAGCUGGAUGUAGGCACAGCUGCAAGAAUUAUGUGUAUUUGAACGAUUUUGACAGAAAGCAGUGCUUGAUAGAGUGUAAAUUCGAUUUCAGUGAAAACUAUAGUAAAUGUUGAAGAGUAUGUCAAUUGACUUUUCGUGUGGUCAUCAUGAUAAUUGUAGAUUUUCAAUUAACAAUUUAUUUGUAGCCAUCAUCUACCUUUUCCAUUUGUCAGGAAACUGGUGUUUUCUGCACACGUAACACGUAAGAAACUGUAAAAAUGGCAAAAACUCAUGAAGGCGAAUGCACUUCAACAUGAACUUGAUUUAAAUAGCGUUUUAUCUGUCUUCUGUUGUCACCAGUAAUAAAUUGGUGAUCGUCUAAACGCUUGGGGAAAUAUUUGUCCUGUAUGAUGCAUAAUGAAUUGGGAGUUUUUAACCCAAUGCGAGAAAUCCAUUCUAUUCCAGCAUACGUAUUUCAAAAAUAAAAUUGCACAUAUUUUAUUGUACAUCCUCCUAGUUUAACGACUGAUAACGCAGCUUGAUAUGAUAAAUUGUUCAUUUGAUAUAGCAAACAUGAACUGAAAAUGGAAACGGUUUUAUAAUACCGUCACGACUCUGUACGUGAACGGAAACAAAAUCUAAGAAUGGUUCCAUUUUUAGCCGUUGUAUGGGAUUGUUCUUGGAUUUAAUCAUUUCUUAUAUGUUUAUGACAAAUAAAGUUUCAAGCAAACAGA